UUCACUGUCAAACCAAUUGGACAUGAUGCAUGCGAUUGUUCGUGGCUGAUGAGUGUUCGGCAGUGUCUUGAAAUGGUAUUGAACAUACGAAGCUGUGUAUGACCAAUUAUAAAUUCAAGGUUUUUGGUUGUUGACUGUUAAUGUGUUUGGGCCUAGCGUAAAAUGCGGAUGUUUUCAAGCUGAAUGGCAAAAAGUUGGCACGUGGCAUGAAACCUACAACUGGAGAAUGUGCAAUGUAAGCGUUUGAUAAUCCUUGCAGUUCCGUUGAUGACACUCCAGAGCCUACAACUGGAAAGGAAAGUGAAGCCCCUCCCAUUAUACCGAAGACUAGGUUCUAAGGACUUCCGACAUUUGCACUAAUGCUGCGUGACAUGGCACGCGCCUCCGCGCCAACAGGGAUCAGUGCCUUUGACUCUGGGGCGUUGAUCUUUGGAAUAAUAAUGGAAUAAGACGAUGAAACCACAGAUGGAUAGCAGAGACAGAUGGUGUGGGAGAGAAGAUGAAGACUGAAAAUUCAGAGAGCAGAUAACCAGACAUCUGAGUGGUCACAGCAUUGUAUAGGAUGUCUGUCAAUCAGCGAUGGAGGGCUGUCACCCUCAGCGACAG